GUGUCUUCCACUUUCCUUUCACUUCUAGCCCUGCCUCUGUCACUGGAGGCCUAUCCACUCAAUGAUACAAGGGGUGGUGCAUUGGGAAGUGGGGGUACUGUUCAGCUCCCUCUUACUAAAUGCCUCUGGUCUCUCACAAUCAUUAUAACAGGGUGAUUAUUUUGUCCUCUGCUUUGCAACCUGUUCUACAGUUCCAGGACUACAGGAAAAGUCAUGACAGAUAACUCAUGGUUUGCGAACUCAUGGACCUCACUUGAGCAUCACUAGUUUACAGUACCUGUCAAGAAGGAAUAAAAACAAGAAGAAAACCCAUUCACUUUCAGAGAGCUGCUAGUUCCAAGGAUGAGGUGUUGCCAGGUAGAAUAGCAGGGGAAAAAGAAAAGGGUUAGCCUGGCAUCUGGCAUGGACUCAUCAAGGAGUGGAAACCGUGAGGCCUGUGAGGAGUUAUAGCAGACAGGUCCUCACCACACGGUCACAUAUGUGUCAGGACAGGACUUCGCAUACUUCAGGUUAAGUUUAGCAAGAUGGAUCACCAUUCAAAUACCCAUGCUAUGGUUUCAGUGAUUCUCCAACUGUGAUUAGCUUUAUGCCUAUCAG